rnacentral:pre_miRNA from 9 species
UCUCGAUAGCGUAAAAGUUAACACAAAUUUGUAUGGAGUUGAACGCUUGCCUUCGUUUGCCGCUAGGGGCUCUGUUCAAACUCCAUACAAAUUUGAGUUAACUUUUACGCUAUCGA